rnacentral:rRNA from 1 species
CGGGACGGGUGAGUAACGCGUGGGUAACCUGCCUUAUACAGGGGGAUAACAGUCAGAAAUGGCUGCUAAUACCGCAUAAGCGCACAGAGCUGCAUGGCUCGGUGUGAAAAACUCCGGUGGUAUAAGAUGGACCCGCGUUGGAUUAGCUGGUUGGUGGGGUAACGGCCCACCAAGGCGACGAUCCAUAGCCGGCCUGAGAGGGUGAACGGCCACAUUGGGACUGAGACACGGCCCAG